UAUUCUCGUGUGGAAGUAAUUUUGGGUACAACCCCAGUAUCGAUCUAUCCCCUAUAAUUUUAUGUACUUCGUACAUUACUGCUAGCCCCCAUGGAUAUUGUACA
rnacentral:ncRNA from 1 species